rnacentral:rRNA from 1 species
UACGAAGGGGGCUAGCGUUGCUCGGAUUUACUGGGCGUAAAGGGCGCGUAGGCGGACAGUUAAGUUGGGGGGUGAAAGCCCGGGGCUCAACCUCGGAAUUGCCUUCAAUACUGGCUGUCUUGAGUGUGAGAGAGGUGUGUGGAACUCCGAGUGUAGAGGUGAAAUUCGUAGAUAUUCGGAAGAACACCAGUGGCGAAGGCGACACACUGGCUCACUACUGACGCUGAGGCGCGAAAGCGUGGGGAGCAAACAGG